CAGCAGCCGCGGUAAUACGAAGGUCCCAAGCGUUGUUCGGAAUCACUGGGCGUAAAGGGAGCGUAGGCGGCGUGGUAAGUCAGAUGUGAAAUCCCGGGGCUCAACCCCGGAACUGCAUUUGAUACUGCCAUGCUUGAGGGUUGGAGAGGUAGCUGGAAUUCUUGGUGUAGCAGUGAAAUGCGUGGAUAUCAAGAGGAACACUCGUGGCGAAGGCGAGCUACUGGACAACAUCUGACGCUGAGGCUCGAAGGCCAGGGUAGCGAAAGGGAUUAGAUACCCCGGUAGUCCCUGUCUCUUAUAC
rnacentral:rRNA from 1 species